CAAGGAUGUUAGAUAAGCUUUUAUUUACUGUGACACUGUCUGAAGUAUUUGCGUCUGUUGUCUUCACCCACCAACACGUGCACUGACAUCUCUUAGCAGUUAGACUGGUCUACAGCGGAGUGAUAAUACUUUCAUUUUCUCAUAGCAAUUAAUUAAACACUACAUAAAGUGACAAUGUAUUGUGACUGUACUUGUUCAGUUAUGUUGUCAUUGUUGUAUGUUUGUUUUUGUUCUAGUGCACUCAAAACCAUCAAUCGUGUGACACUAACUUUCAACAGUGUUGCUCAAAUUCGGCAUGCGCGGAUAUUCCUAGUGUGGGUUUGAGAUGCAAGGACAAAGGGGACAUCUGCUGGAAAGGGGCUGUAGGUGUCAAGAAAUGUUACCGGACUUUUCGCCUUUUUGAUGGGAGAUAAUCAAACAGCGGCUUGAAUUGAUGAGGACUUCAAAGUGUUUCAGGGAUACAAGCUGUCACGACAACAGUUAAAUGUCUAAUGGAUUGUCCCAAAAAUAUCUGUAAUUAUUGUUCUACUGACGAUUGAUCAGUAAACUGAAAGUUAAUCUUUC